UACGAAGGGGGCUAGCGUUGUUCGGAUUUACUGGGCGUAAAGCGCACGUAGGCGGAUCGUUAAGUCGGGGGUGAAAUCCUGGGGCUCAACCCCAGAACUGCCUUCGAUACUGGCGAUCUAGAGUCCGGAAGAGGUGAGUGGAACUCCUAGUGUAGAGGUGGAAUUCGUAGAUAUCGGGAGGAACACCGGUGGCGAAGGCGGCGACCUGGGUAGAUACUGACGCUGAGGUGCGAAAUCGUGGGGAGCAAACAGG
rnacentral:rRNA from 1 species